rnacentral:rRNA from 1 species
GAUGAACGCUGGCGGCGUGCCUAAUACAUGCAAGUCGAGCGAACGGACGAGAAGCUUGCUUCUCUGAUGUUAGCGGCGGACUGGUGAGUAACACGUGGAUAACCUACCUAUAAGACUGGGAUAACUUCGGGAAACCGGAGCUAAUACCGGAUGAUAUUUUGAACCGCAUGGUUCAAAAGUGAAAGACGGUCUUGCUGUCACUUAUAGAUGGAUCCGCGCUGCAUUAGCUAGUUGGUAAGGUAACGGCUUACCAAGGCAACGAUGCAUAGCCGACCUGAGAGGGGGAUCGGCCACACUGGAACUGAGACACGGUCCAGACUCCUACGGGAGGCAGCAGUAGGGAAUCUUCCGCAAUGGGCGAAAGCCUGACGGAGCAACGCCGCGUGAGUGAUGAAGGUCUUCGGAUCGUAAAACUCUGUUAUUAGGGAAGAACAUAUGUGUAAGUAACUGUGCACAUCUUGACGGUACCUAAUCAGAAAGCCACGGCUAACUACGUG